ACUCAAAGGAAUUGACGGGGGCCCGCACAAGCGGUGGAGCAUGUGGCUUAAUUCGAUGCAACGCGAAGAACCUUACCUGGCCUUGACAUGUAUGUAGUAGAAGGAUGAAAGUCUGACGAGGUAGCAAUACCAGCAUACACAGGUGCUGCAUGGCUGUCGUCAGCUCGUGCCGUGAGGUGUUCGGUUAAGUCCGGUAACGAGCGCAACCCCUAUGUCCUGUUGCCACUCCGAGUAAUCGGAAGCACUCUGGACAGACUGCCCUGCAUAACGGGGAGGAAGGUGGGGAUGACGUCAAGUCAGUAUGGUCCUUACGGCCAGGGCUGCACACGUGCUACAAUGCCCAGUACAAAUGGAAGCCAACUCGCGAGAGGGAGCCAAUCCAAGAAAACUGGGCUCAGUUCAGAUUGUAGGCUGCAACUCGCCUACAUGAAGCUGGAAUCGCUAGUAAUGGUGCAUCAGCUACGGCACCGUGAAUACGUUCCCGGGCCUUGUACACACCGCCCGU
rnacentral:rRNA from 1 species